GACGAACGCUGGCGGCGUGCUUAACACAUGCAAGUCGAACGGAAAGGCCCUGCUUUUGUGGGGUGCUCGAGUGGCGAACGGGUGAGUAACACGUGAGUAACCUGCCCUUGACUUUGGGAUAACUUCAGGAAACUGGGGCUAAUACCGGAUAGGAGCUCCUGCUGCAUGGUGGGGGUUGGAAAGUUUCGGCGGUUGGGGAUGGACUCGCGGCUUAUCAGCUUGUUGGUGGGGUAGUGGCUUACCAAGGCUUGGACGGGUAGCCGGCCUGGGAGGGUGACCGGCCACAUGGGGACUGGGAUACGGCCCAGACGCCUACGGGAGGCAGCAGGGGGGAAUAUUGCACAAUGGGCGGAAGCCUGAUGCAGCAACGCCGCGUGCGGGAGGACGGCCUUCGGGUGGGAAACCGCUUUCGCCUGUGACGAAGCGUGAGUGACGGUAAUGGGGAAAGAAGCACCGGCUAACUACGU
rnacentral:rRNA from 1 species